UACGUAGGGGGCUAGCGUUAUCCGGAAUUACUGGGCGUAAAGGGUGCGUCGGUGGUUUUUCAAGUCAGGAGUGAAAGGCUACGGCUCAACCGUAGUAAGCUCUUGAAACUGUAAAACUUGAGUGCAGGAGAGGAGAGUAGAAUUCCUAGUGUAGCGGUGAAAUGCGUAGAUAUUAGGAGGAAUACCAGUUGCGAAGGCGGCUCUCUGGACUGUAACUGACACUGAGGCACGAAAGCGUGGGGAGCAAACAGG
rnacentral:rRNA from 1 species